rnacentral:rRNA from 1 species
CCUACGGGUGACAGCAGUGGGGAAUAUUGCGCAAUGGGCGAAAGCCUGACGCAGCGACGCCGCGUGAGGGAUGAAGGUCUUCGGAUCGUAAACCUCUGUCAGCAGGGAAGAACGGUCACUGUGCUAAUCAGCAGUGAAUUGAUGGUACCUGCAAAGGAAGCACCGGCUAACUCCGUGCCAGCAGCCGCGGUAAUACGGAGGGUGCGAGCGUUAAUCGGAAUUACUGGGCGUAAAGCGCUCGUAGGCGGUAUGUCAAGUCAAGGGGGAAAUCCCCGCGCUCAACGGGGGAACUGCCUUUGAAACUGGCAAACUGGAGUGUGUGAGAGGAUAGUGGAAUUCCAGGUGUAGGAGUGAAAUCCGUAGAUAUCUGGAGGAACAUCAGUGGCGAAGGCGACUAUCUGGCACAUAACUGACGCUGAGGAGCGAAAGCGUGGGUAGCAAACAGGAUUAGAUACCCUAGUAGUC